rnacentral:rRNA from 1 species
CAGUAGCCGCGGGAAUACGUAGGGUGCAAGCGUUGUCCGGAAUUAUUGGGCGUAAAGAGCUCGUAGGCGGUUUGUCGCGUCUGCUGUGAAAUCCCGAGGCUCAACCUCGGGCUUGCAGUGGGUACGGGCAGACUAGAGUGCGGUAGGGGAGAUUGGAAUUCCUGGUGUAGCGGUGGAAUGCGCAGAUAUCAGGAGGAACACCGAUGGCGAAGGCAGAUCUCUGGGCCGUAACUGACGCUGAGGAGCGAAAGCGUGGGGAGCGAACAGGAUUAGAUACCCGGUAGUCCCUGUCUCUUAUACA